CAUCAAUUGCAACUGAAGCUGCACCUUCACCAGUGGCCUCUCACAGUGCCGUGCCUCAGCUGCUCUUCAUGACCCCUUCAUGCCUUCAAAACCAGUACCACCUGGGUGACUCUUACACACUACCAAGCCCGGCUGCCAACACGAGGUACAACUGUGGCUGCUUCUGGAACACAGCUUCUCUGUGCUCUCAGAAACACUUCCCAGGAGAUUUCACCUCAAUGAUGCUGUUCUCUUCUUAAUCACCGCUAAUUUCUUAGCUCCAGCUGACCAGCAUCAAUAGUCCCAGUAAUGCAAAGGUUUCGCUUUAGUGGUUCUGGGAUCUUGUUAAUCACGGCUGAUUCUUUAGCCCCAGCUAACCAGAACCACAGAAUCUUCACAAUCAAAACAGCAACGGUUCUGAUAAGAGUCUUUAAUCUUCCCUCUGAAGUUUCACAAGCCAGGCCUCCAUCUUCUGCACUGUUGUCAACAUUGUCGUCCAAGCUCCUACAGAGCAUCCCACAGAGCUCUUUUUUUUUCUUUUUUUUUCUUUUCCCACAGAGCUCUUAACACCCAGAGGCUCCUGUAG
rnacentral:lncRNA from 1 species